UACGUAGGGACCGAGCGUUAUCCGGAUUCAUUGGGCGUAAAGAGCUCGUAGGCGGCUAUUCAAGUCGAACGUGAAAUCUCGGAGCUCAACUCCGAGCCUGCGUUCGAUACUGGGUAGCUAGAGUCUGGUAGGGGGAUCUGGAAUUCCUGGUGUAGCGGUGGAAUGCGCAGAUAUCAGGAGGAACACCGGUGGCGAAGGCGGGAUCCUGGGCCAGUACUGACGCUGAGGUGCGAAAGCGUGGGGAGCAAACAGG
rnacentral:rRNA from 1 species